rnacentral:rRNA from 1 species
GACGAACCGUGCGAACGUUGUUCGGAAUCACUGGGCUUAAAGGGCGCGUAGGCGGGUUCGCAAGUCUGUGGUGAAAGCCCCCGGCUCAACUGGGGAGGGUCAUUCGAUACUGAUCGACUCGAAGGCAGGAGAGGGUAGUGGAAUUCCCGGUGUAGUGGUGAAAUGCGUAGAUAUCGGGAGGAACACCAGUGGCGAAGGCGGCUACCUGGACCGGUUCUGACGCUGAGGCGCGAAAGCGUGGGUAGCAAACAGG